GACAGAGGGUGCAAACGUUUGUUCGGAAUUACUGGGCGUAAAGCGUGUGUAGGCGGCUUUGCAAGUCGGAUGUGAAAGCCCCGGGCUCAACCCGGGAAGUGCACUCGAUACUGCAGAGCUAGAGUGUCGGAGAGGUUGGUGGAAUUCUAGGUGUAGAGGUGAAAUUCGUAGAUAUCUAGAGGAACACCGGUGGCGAAGGCGGCCAACUGGACGAACACUGACGCUGAGACACGAAAGCGUGGGGAGCAAACAGG
rnacentral:rRNA from 1 species